rnacentral:rRNA from 1 species
CGGUUGAUCCUGCCGGAGGUUACUGCUAUCGGUAUUCGACUAAGCCAUGCGAGUUAAAUGUUCUUCGUGAACAUAGCGAACUGCUCAGUAACACGUGGAUAACCUGCCCUUAGGUUUGGCAUAACUCCGGGAAACUGGAGAUAAUUCCGAAUAAACCAUUCAUGCUGGAAUGCUUUUUGGUUCAAAGACUUCGGUUGCCUAAGGAUGGAUCUGCGGUCUAUCAGGUGGUAGUGGGUGUAAUGUACCUACUAGCCUACGACGGAUAUGGGUUGUGAGAGCAAGAGCCCAGAGAUGGAUUCUGAGACAUGAAUCCAGGCCCUACGGGGCGCAGCAGGCGCGAAAACUUUACAAUGCGGGAAACCGCGAUAAGGGGAUACCGAGUGCCAGCAUAUUAUGUUGGCUGUCCACAUGUGUAAACGGCAUGUGUUAGCAAGGGCCGGGCAAGACCGGUGCCAGCCGCCGCGGUAACACCGGCGGCCCGAGUGGUAAUCACUUUUAUUGGGUCUAAAGGGUCCGUAGCCGGUUUGAUCAGUUCUUCGGGAAAUCUGACAGCUCAACUGUUAGGCUUCCGGGGAAUACUGUCAGACUUGGGACCGGGAGAGGUAAGAGGUACUACAGGGGUAGGAGUGAAAUCUUGUAAUCCCUGUGGGACCACCAGUGGCGAAGGCGUCUUACCAGAACGGGUCCGACGGUGAGGGACGAAAGCUGGGGGCACGAACCGGAUUAGAUACCCGGGUAGUCCCAGCCGUAAACGAUGUUCGCUAGGUGUCAGGGACGGUGCGACCGUUUCUGGUGCCGUAGGGAAGCCGUGAAGCGAACCACCUGGGAAGUACGGCCGCAAGGCUGAAACUUAAAGGAAUUGGCGGGGGAGCACUACAACGGGUGGAGCCUGCGGUUUAAUUGGACUCAACGCCGGAAAACUCACCGGGGGGCGACAGCAAGAUGUAGGUCA